CGAGGAUCCUCCCCAACAUGCAUGCGCAACUUUUUCCUAAGAUGGAUCCCACCGCAGAGGCCUGUUGGGGAGCUCAGCUUCUGCCACUAGCUUUGUCUUGGAGUGUCUGGGUGAGAACACAGCUUCGGUUUUACUCCACUUGACAGACACCAGCUGUCCAGCCCAGGGGCCCAUCUAUCUCCUACCUCAAUCCUAAAGUUGAAAAAACGGGACUUCCACAGAGGGAAGAUUGCUAACUCUCAACAGUCACCAGCCAAUUUUCACUCCUUGGAAGGAAGCAGAGGAAGAUGUUUUUCACCACAGCAAGCUGUGUGACUCGACCAUAGCCUGCCCCACUCUGGACUAGAAAGACCUCCCUCAUUUAAUGUAUCAGGAUUAUACCCCCUUUAUAACUCUUACAAUGUGACUCUUUAAAAAUCAAUUCAAGAAAGAGUUAUAAUGGAUUGACAGUGAUUUACAUGAAAAGCCUGUUCCCUUCAGCACUGUCAUUUUACUUCUCAAAAAGUCAAUGUUACAGGACGGUGUAUCUAUAUGU